rnacentral:rRNA from 1 species
AAUGGAGGAAACUCUGAUGCAGCGAUGCCGCGUGAGUGAAGAAGGCCUUUGGGUUGUAAAGCUCUUUCGUCGGGGAAGAAAAUGACUGUACCCGAAUAAGAAGGUCCGGCUAACUUCGUGCCAGCAGCCGCGGUAAUACGAAGGGACCUAGCGUAGUUCGGAAUUACUGGGCUUAAAGAGUUCGUAGGUGGUUGAAAAAGUUGGUGGUGAAAUCCCAGAGCUUAACUCUGGAACUGCCAUCAAAACUUUUCAGCUAGAGUAUGAUAGAGGAAAGCAGAAUUUCUAGUGUAGAGGUGAAAUUCGUAGAUAUUAGAAAGAAUACCAAUUGCGAAGGCAGCUUUCUGGAUCAUUACUGACACUGAGGAACGAAAGCAUGGGUAGCGAAGGGGAUU